AGUGAACGCUGGCGGUAGGCCUAACACAUGCAAGUCGAACGGCAGCACAGGAGAGCUUGCUCUCUGGGUGGCGAGUGGCGGACGGGUGAGGAAUACAUCGGAAUCUACUCUGUCGUGGGGGAUAACGUAGGGAAACUUACGCUAAUACCGCAUACGACCUACGGGUUAAAGCAGGGGAUCUUCGGACCUUGCGCGAUUGAAUGAGCCGAUGUCGGAUUAGCUAGUUGGCGGGGUAAAGGCCCACCAAGGCGACGAUCCGUAGCUGGUCUGAGAGGAUGAUCAGCCACACUGGAACUGAGACACGGUCCAGACUCCUACGGGAGGCAGCAGUGGGGAAUAUUGGACAAUGGGCGCAAGCCUGAUCCAGCCAUACCGCGUGGGUGAAGAAGGCCUUCGGGUUGUAAAGCCCUUUUGUUGGGAAAGAAAUCCAGCUGGCUAAUACCCGGUUGGGAUGACGGUACCCAAAGAAUAAGCACCGGCUAACUUCGUGCCAGCCGCCGUAAGAC
rnacentral:rRNA from 1 species